GACGAACGCUGGCGGCGUGCUUAACACAUGCAAGUCGAACGAUGAAGCCGGAGCUUGCUCCGGUGGAUUAGUGGCGAACGGGUGAGUAACACGUGAGCAAUCUGCCCUUAACUCUGGGAUAACUGCGGGAAACUGUAGCUAAUACCGGAUACGACACCUUGGGGCAUCCCAGGGUGUGGAAAGAAUUUCGGUCAAGGAUGAGCUCGCGGCCUAUCAGCUAGUUGGUGAGGUAAUGGCUCACCAAGGCGACGACGGGUAGCCGGCCUGAGAGGGUGACCGGCCACACUGGAACUGAGACACGGUCCAGACUCCUACGGGAGGCAGCAGUGGGGAAUAUUGCACAAUGGACGAAAGUCUGAUGCAGCAACGCCGCGUGAGGGAUGAAGGCCUUCGGGUUGUAAACCUCUUUUAGCAGGGAAGAAGCGAAAGUGACGGUACCUG
rnacentral:rRNA from 1 species